UACGUAGGUGGCAAGCGUUGUCCGGAAUUAUUGGGCGUAAAGCGCGCGCAGGCGGUCCUUUAAGUCUGAUGCGAAAGCCAACGGCUCAACCGUGGAGGGUCAUUGGGAACUGAGGGACUUGAGUGCAGAAGAGGAAAGUGGAAUUCCACGUGUAGCGGGGAAAUGCGCAGAGAUGUGGAGGAACACCAGUGGCGAAGGCGACUUUCUGGUCUGUAACUGACGCUGAGGCGCGAAAGCGUGGGGAGCAAACAGG
rnacentral:misc_RNA from 1 species